rnacentral:rRNA from 1 species
UGGGGAAUUUUGGACAAUGGGGGCAACCCUGAUCCAGCCAUUCCGCGUGAGUGAAGAAGGCCUUCGGGUUGUAAAGCUCUUUCGGCAGGAACGAAACGGCGAGCUCUAACAUAGCUCGCUAAUGACGGUACCUGAAGAAGAAGCACCGGCUAACUACGUGCCAGCAGCCGCGGUAAUACGUAGGGUGCGAGCGUUAAUCGGAAUUACUGGGCGUAAAGCGUGCGCAGGCGGUUGUGUAAGACAGGUGUGAAAUCCCCGGGCUUAACCUGGGAACUGCGCUUGUGACUGCACGACUAGAGUAUGGCAGAGGGGGGUGGAAUUCCACGUGUAGCAGUGAAAUGCGUAGAGAUGUGGAGGAACACCGAUGGCGAAGGCAGCCCCCUGGGCCAAUACUGACGCUCAUGCACGAAAGCGUGGGGAGCAAACAGG